GCAGGCAGGCAGGCAGGCAGGUAGGUAGGUAGGUAGGUAGAGGAGAAACCCAGAAGUAGGAUAAUGGGAACCAGGGGAAAAUGGUAAAAAUUUCAAAACAUUUGGAAUAGAUAAAGCACCAAGAGAUGGAAACAAGUGAGGAAGCUGCAAGAACCAGGGGAGAAAAGUAUGUGAAGUGGAACUUCAGACCCUCUGUGUGCCCCCCUCCCCCCUGCCCAUCCCAAUUCAUGCUCACCAGUGACCAGAGUGGAGAACUUUGAUUUAAGACCACAGGUAUCAAGUUCAUCUAACCACCUACCCACCCUGCCUUCUGCAACACGAGAUAAAGACUAUGAGGAAGAACUGGACAGACAAAUUACGUUGUCAGUCAUUUGGACCUGAGCAAAUAAGAAAUAUGCAGGUGGCUAUGUUGUUUAAUUUGUAACAUAUGUCUAUCAUUUUCCAGGUAAAUGGAAUAAGUCGUCAGGUGGUGAACCUAGCACAAAGUAUGAAAUAGUGUGGAGUGGCAGGCUGGCCGUGGAGGAAGGGGAAAGCAUUACAGAUAUACUGUGUAUACCAUUAGCAUCUCAGCACAGGAGUUCUCAAGGGUCACCAGACUGGACUUGCAUUGUAGCUGGAUUCACGUCAGGCUAUAUGAGGAUUUAUUUACAGGUGCGUGCCUGUAUAGCCUCUCUGUUCAUAGAUGUAUUAAAUUUAUUCACUGAUUAACCCAUUAACCCCUUGGUCAGGAAUGGCAUUUUGCACUACACAGAUCUCUUUCUGGUUCUUUCCUCAAGGGAUUAUGGCCAAACCACCCAAAACUUCACUCGGGGAUGAUCCGGUCCUUUCAUUUUGAGCCUGAAAGUUUGGACAUGCGCAAAUUUGGACUUGCACAAAUAGCAAACUUUGGAGAUUUAUAAUUUUUUGCCUUUUGUUUUGUUUUUUCUCUCUCUUUUUCAUAAUAUGUGGUUUCAUUGGCCUUUCAGCCACCUAUCUUCUUGUUGGGAAAUUUUCACCAAAAUGUCAAGGAAGUGGCAAUUUCUAUAGAAUAGUUCCAUGCAUUCACAUAGUUGUGGUAGGGAGGGUCAAGUUUUUGUUCAAUUUUCAGGAAAGAAUUUGAUACAUAUUAAGGUUACUUCCCACCUUCAGAGGCCAAAAAAAUCGUUUUUUCUUUUAUUGGACA